rnacentral:rRNA from 1 species
UACGUAGGGUGCGAGCGUUAAUCGGAAUUACUGGGCGUAAAGCGUGCGCAGGCGGUUUCACAAGCUCGAUGUGAAGGCCCCGGGCUUAACCUGGGAAUGGCAUUGAGGACUGUGGAGCUCGAGUGCGGCAGAGGGAGGUGGAAUUCCACGUGUAGCAGUGAAAUGCGUAGAGAUGUGGAGGAACACCGAUGGCGAAGGCAGCCUCCUGGGCCGACACUGACGCUCAUGCACGAAAGCGUGGGGAGCAAACAGG